AGAGUUUGAUCCUGGCUCAGAUUGAACGCUGGCGGCAGGCUUAACACAUGCAAGUCGAGCGGAGAGAGGUAGCUUGCUACUGAUCUUAGCGGCGGACGGGUGAGUAAUGCUUAGGAAUCUGCCUAUUAGUGGGGGACAACAUUUCGAAAGGAAUGCUAAUACCGCAUACGACCUACGGGAGAAAGCAGGGGAUCUUCGGACCUUGCGCUAAUAGAUGAGUCUAAGUCGGAUUAGCUAGUUGGUGGGGUAAAGGCCUACCAAGGCGACGAUCUGUAGCGGGUCUGAGAGGAUGAUCCGCCACACUGGGACUGAGACACGGCCCAGACUCCUACGGGAGGCAGCAGUGGGGAAUAUUGGACAAUGGGCGCAAGCCUGAUCCAGCCAUGCCGCGUGUGUGAAGAAGGCCUUAUGGUUGUAAAGCACUUUAAGCGAGGAGGAGGCUACUUUAGUUAAUACCUAGAGAUAGUGGACGUUACUCGCAGAAUAAGCACCGGCUAACUCUGUGCCAGCAGCCGCGGUAAUACAGAGGGUGCAAGCGUUAAUCGGAUUUACUGGGCGUAAAGCGCGCGUAGGCGGCUACUUAAGUCAAAUGUGAAAUCCCCGAGCUUAACUUGGGAAUUGCAUUCGAUACUGGUUAGCUAGAGUGUGGGAGAGGAUGGUAGAAUUCCAGGUGUAGCGGUGAAAUGCGUAGAGAUCUGGAGGAAUACCGAUGGCGAAGGCAGCCAUCUGGCCUAACACUGACGCUGAGGUGCGAAAGCAUGGGGAGCAAACAGGAUUAGAUACCCUGGUAGUCC
rnacentral:rRNA from 1 species